rnacentral:rRNA from 1 species
CCUACGGGGGGCAGCAGUGGGGAAUAUUGGACAAUGGGGGGAACCCUGAUCCAGCGACGCCGCGUGAGUGAAGAAGUAUUUCGGUAUGUAAAGCUCUAUCAGCAGGGAAGAAAGAAAUGACGGUACCUGACUAAGAAGCCCCGGCUAACUACGUGCCAGCAGCCGCGGUAAUACGGAGGAUGCGAGCGUUAUCCGGAUUUAUUGGGUUUAAAGGGUGCGUAGGCGGGACCUUAAGUCAGCGGUAAAAUUGCGGUGCUCAACGCCGUAGAGCCGUUGAAACUGGGGCUCUUGAGUGAGCGAGAAGUAUGCGGAAUGCGUGGUGUAGCGGUGAAAUGCAUAGAUAUCACGCAGAACCCCGAUUGCGAAGGCAGCAUACCGGCGCUCAACUGACGCUGAGGCACGAAAGUGCGGGUAUCGAACAGGAUUAGAUACCCCAGUAGUC